UAACGCGUGGGAAUCUGCCCUCAGGUUGGGGAAUAACGACGGGAAACUGUCGCUAAUACCGCAUACGCCCUUAGGGGGAAAGAUUUAUCGCUGAUAGAUGAGCCCGCGUACGAUUAGCUAGUUGGUGAGGUAAUGGCUCACCAAGGCUACGAUCGUUAGCUGGUCUGAGAGGAUGAUCAGCCACACUGGGACUGAGACACGGCCCAGACUCCUACGGGAGGCAGCAGUGGGGAAUAUUGGACAAUGGGCGAAAGCCUGAUCCAGCAAUGCCGCGUGAGUGAUGAAGGCCUUAGGGUUGU
rnacentral:rRNA from 1 species